CCUCCUUUCUANGGAGAUACUAUAUNUAAAGUUAUUUAUUUUUUAGUAUCUUUAAAUCAGUGUACAACAGUCGUCGCCUACUAAUCCCUUCUUAUUCCUUUUAUUGUUAAGUAAUAACUAAUUGUNCUCAUGCUUUCCCUUAAUAUAUAUACACUUAAACCUACAUGUCGUGUAAGUUCGGGGGUGUACCUCACUUGGGAGAGCGCCUGCUUUGCAAGCACGAGGUCAUCGGUUCGAUCCCGUAUCACCUCCACCAAUUUAUNUAAACCUACGGGCCGGUACCUCACUUGGUUAUAGCGCGCGCCUUCCAUAAGCCGUGAGGUCCGGAAACUUCCAAGUCUUCCCUCGGGCCCCACCAAUCCUAAUUUUAGGUGUUCUAACUUAACUAUAACGAACAU
rnacentral:misc_RNA from 1 species